UUGGAGGGAGAGAGAUAGAAAAUAGAAAGGCAGAGGAAUGGGCUAGCCAGUUACAGUGCUGGUCUCUGUAUCUCUUAAACUGCUUUGCAUGUAAAGGAAGAUCUGUUAGUCUCAUCUGCAAGAAACACUUCUUGAAGGAUCUGUGUGGCAUGUGGGGUGGCUUAGGGAACCGCACAUCACCUGGUGGGAUUGGACUCAUAAGAAGUUUAUGCAACACUAAAACUGGAAGAGAAAGUAUAGCAAAUGUGGAACAAGUGAUAUUGAGUCUCUGCAAAACUUCAAGGUCAUCUGAUGAUUGGCAGUACAUGGCCAUAGAUUCUCUUCUCUUACUGCUUAAAGACAC
rnacentral:misc_RNA from 1 species